rnacentral:lncRNA from 1 species
UCCGGUUCCUGCAGACGCAGAACAUAGUCCUCCCGGUGAUGCUGAGCUCUGGCGUCACGGCGCUGAACCAUCUUCUAGUGUGCUGGCUCCUGGUGUACAAGAUUGGUCUGGGCAACAGGGGUGCUGCCUUGGCCAAUGCCAUCUCGUACCUGACCAACGUGUCCAUCUUGGCAAUUUAUGUUAGGCUUGCACCAACCUUUAAGAAAACCUGGAGAGGGUUCUCAAAGGAGGCUUUUCACGACAUCCCCAGCUUCUUGAGACUUGCUGUUCCAUCUGCGCUGAUGGUUUGGUGAGUUCUGAAUCCUAUGUCGCAGAUUUUUUUUUUCAUUUAUCAUCUCUAAUUUAAUUGGAUCCUAUAUGUACACAGCUUGGAGUGGUGGUCAUUUGAGCUCCUGGUACUUCUUUCUGGACUUCUCCCAAAUCCGAAGCUCGAGACAUCGGUUUUGUCCAUUUCGUGAGUUAUCUUUCCACAGCACAUUUCAAACUCUGUUUGCCUUUUGUUGAUUAUAACUCUUCAAUUUUGUGCAGUUUAAACACGGGCUCUUUAGCAUUUAUGAUCCCUUUUGGGCUUAGUGCAGCCAUAAGGUCAGAUUUAAAAAAUCACACUCAUAAAUUUUACCAUGCAAUGUUGAUCACCUGAUACUUGUGGCACUGACAUGUUGCUUUCCCCCCCUAUAGCACUCGUGUUUCAAAUGAGCUUGGUGCUGGACGACCUCAAGCUGCCCGUCUGGCUACCCGUGUCGUCAUGGUGCUGGCUAUCGUGGUCGGCAUAUUGAUUGGACUAGUUAUGAUUUUGGUUCGCAAUUUAUGGGGAUAUGCUUACAGUAACGAGGAGGAAGUGGUGAAAUACAUCUCCAAAAUGAUGCCGAUCCUGGCUGUAUCAUUCUUGUUUGAUUGCGUGCAGUGUGUUCUCUCAGGUAUCUCUAGAUCUGCUAAUUGAAAUAUACCAAAUUUGGUAAAUACAGUGAACCCAUAUCCUGUUGUUUUGCCAUGAUCUGUUCUUAUCUCCAUGUAUAUUAUGAACUGCAUUUGUUACUAUCGGAACAUUAUCACCUAGAUAAUGACUGACAAUAUGGUUUCAUGAUAUAUUUCCAGGUGUUGCUAGGGGCUGUGGGUGGCAAAAGAUUGGUGCUUGUGUAAAUCUUGGUGCAUAUUACCUGGUCGGAAUCCCAGCUGCCUUCUGUUUCGCGUUUCUUUUUCAUCUAGGUGGAAUGGUAAUUUACUACCCAAACCAACCUUAGCAUAAGUUCUAGUUCAACUUUUAUUACUCUGUCGAGUUGAAGAGACCUCUAAAUACGAUGGUUUGAUUGUCUAGGGGCUUUGGCUGGGAAUAAUCUGCGCGCUCGUCGUACAGAUGCUAUUGCUUCUCACAAUUACUUUAUGCAGCAACUGGGAAAAAGAAGUAAGCAAAUCAACCAAAACUUCUUGCAUGCAAAGAUACUAUUUCGUUGCCUUCUCCAUUUAGCGGCACCUCUCUGUUUUGUGGCUUCUAUAGGCUUUGAAGGCAAAGGACAGAAUUUUCAGUUCAUCCCUACCAGUAGACAUGACGACAUGAUAUGCUCAAGAGACACAAUUUUGUUGGAGGCAAUGGCCAAGAAGAAACAUUAAGAAGGACCUAAUGAAAAAUCGGCAGCAGAGUCUGGACUUUUCUCCACGCAAUCAGAGUAUGACACAGAAAGUACCUGGGCAAUCUGUUUUGGUCAUUCUUUUUACUGGAUACAGGGAACACAAGAUUCUGUUGAGGCUAGGUAACUAAAUGUUUUUUAUUUACUAGAAACAGCUUCAUAAUCUCAUGGAAGUGUAUUUUUUCUCUUUGUUUUGAGUAAUAUGAUUGAGACAAGAGAAGGAAAUGUUCUAUUUGACUACAAUCAGCAGUAUUGUCCAUUUGAGUGAUAGAUCUAAUUGAUUUAGUGCUCAACUUAAAUAACAUAACAGGGAUCAUUAGCAGUUCAUCUAGUCGGGUAAAGGCUUAAAGUUCAGGCUAAACAACAAUGUUUUGUAACUAACAGAGAACUAACCGGAGAGGGAGAGAGGGAGAGAGAGUAGAGACUGACCAUCGGGCUUACUAGACGAGCUCGUCAUGGACGAAGUUGGAGACGGCGGCGGCGUGAACAGCGACGGUGACAGUGUGGGUGGCGGCGGAGCUUCCCGUUACUACAGCGCAGAUUAGAUCGGGUUCUAGGGUUUGUUAGGUGGGUGUGUGGGCACGGCAACGAACUUGGACGUCCGUGCCCCGGACCCCCACCUCUACUUUUAUGUGCGCUGCGUGAUGGGGGCCCGCAACCAUGAGUUGGAUGUGCGCCCCCGAUCAGGGCGCGGGAUCAGGGUCCGACUUUGCUGUUGGCCAAGUCCGGUAGAGAUCAAACUAACAUUCUCCCCCCUUGAUCUCACCUCAUAAACUUAGUCUCAAACUUAACUUGGCACCUAUUUCAUCACAGAUCAGUGUAUAGAGUAUGUUUUGUCAUAAUAGCCAACUACGUACUAUCAGAUUCAACAGCUACAACACACCUUUCUGUUUUGAAAUAGAUUCUUGCUCUAGACCCUUAGUAUCCAGGGAUCAUAGGCUUUCUUGUAAACCCAUACUGGCUAAGUGUUCUCUGAACACAUUGGGCGGUAAGCAUUUCGUAAGCGGAUCCGUGAACAUUUAUUUUGUUCUUAUAUGCUCAAGACUUAUGGUAUGAUCCUGGAUUUUCUCUUUCACGUCAUAAAACUUUAUGUCAAUGUGUUUGGCAGCACCACUUGACUUAUUGUUGUGAGCAUAGAAUACUGCUGGCUCAUUGUCACAGUACAUCUUGAGUGGUUUUUGAAUGUUGUCUACCACUCUCAACCCGGGUACAAACUUCUUUAACCAUGUUGCCUGCCCGUGGCCUCAUAACAUGCUACAAACUUGGCAAACAUCGUGGAUGAUGCUGUGACGGUUUGCUUGGAGCUUUUCCACGAUAUAGCUCCACCUGCGAGAGUGAAUACAUAACCUGUUGUGGAUUUUCUAUCGUCUACAUCUCCCGCAAAGUCUGAAUCUGAGUACCCUUCUAUUUCAAGGGAAUCAGCCUUUUGUGCCUUGCGUAUUACGCAAUGCCUUCUUUACCAUUUUCCAGUGAUCUAUUCUUAGAUUAUCUUGAUAUCUGCCAAAUAUCCCGGUAACAAAAGCAAAGUCAGAGCGCGUACACACUUGAGCAUACAUCAAGCUUCCGACAGUUGAAGCAUAUGGAACCGCUUUCAUUUGAUCGAUCUCAUACUGGUUCUUGGGACUCUGAAAUCUCCCAAAUCUAUCGCCCUUAACUAUGGGAGCAGGUGUAGGUCUACUCGCAUGCAUACUAUACUCCUUCAGAAUCUUCUCUAAGUAUACCUUUUGCGAUAAUCCUAACACCCCCUUUCUUCUAUCUCGGUGAAUUUUAAUUCCUAAAAUGAACGAAGCUUUACCAAGAUCUUUCAUAUCAAAGUUUGAGGACAAGAACUUCUUCGUCUCCAACAGUAGAUUAACAUCACUACUAGUAAGUAGGAUGUCAUCUACGUACAGGAUAAGGAAAAUGAAUUUCCCACUCUUAAACUUUGCAUAAACGCAAUUGUCCUCCUUAUUCUCACUAAACCCAAACUUUCUUAUUGUCUCAUUAAACUUUAAGUACCAUUGGAGGCUUGUUUUAAUCCAUAAAUGGAUUUCUUCAGAUGACAUCCAUAUGUUCUUUUCCUUUCACGACAAAACCUUUGAGUUGUGCCAUGUAAACGAUUUCUUCCAAGUCUUCGUUGAGAAAAGCAAUCUUUACAUCCAUCUGAUGUAACUCUAAAUCAUAGUGUGCCGCUAAAGCCAUUAUGAUUCUAAAAGAAUCCUUACAUGAGACUGAGAAAAUAUCUCAUUAUAGUCUAUUCCUUCUCUUUGUUCUUUGUGUGAAGCCUUUUGCUACAAGUCAUGCUUUAUAUCUUUCGACAUUCCCUUUGGAGUCACAUUCUAUUUAUAGACCCAUUUACAACCUACUGUCUUGACUCCUUUAGGAAUUUCUUCUAAAUCCCAGACUUUAGUGCUACUCAUGGAUCUCAUUUCAUCUUCCAUGGCUUCAAGCCACUUCGAUGAGUGAGCACUUCUCAUGGCUUCUUCAAAUGAGGUGGGAUCUCCCUCCAUUUGAACUUCUUCACUAACAUAGACUUCAUAGUCAUCAAGAAUAGCUAGCUUUGUAGCUCUUUGAGACCUUCUGGGAGCCUCAACAUCUGGCACGUCUUCCAUGUGGGGCUGUUGCAGCUCUUCCUCAUGUGUGACAACAGGUUCUAUAGGAUCCUGAACGACAAGUUCCUCAUCUUCAUUCGUUGUUGCCACAGAAGAACUAACAACAGGUGCUGUAGCCACAGUGUCCUGUACUAUCAAUGCAGCAGCAACAAGUAUCGAGAAAAAAGGUUCCUGAAUCAUCAGAGUGGGUAUAUAUACCCGCUUCUCCUCAAGGCUAAUUUCUCAGGGUACCGUGCUUCCCCUGAUCAUCUCAUCCUCCAAAAACACAGCGUGUCUCGUUUCUACAAACUUAGUAUGUCUGUCAGGACAGUAGAAGCGAUAACCUUUUGACUUAUCUAGGUAGCCAAUGAAAUGGCAACUGACUGUCUUAGGGUCUAAUUUCCAAUGUUUGGAUUAAAGACUUUAGCCUCAGCUGGACAGCCCCACACACGAAUAAUUGAGUGAGGGCUCUCGUCUAGUCCACAACUCAUACAGUGUUUUAGACACCAACUUACUAGGAACUCGAUUAAGGAUGUGAAUGGCGGUUUUUAACGCACCCAUCCACAAACUAACCAGUAAAGUGGAGUAACUUAUCAUGCUUCUCACCAUAUCCAUUAAGGUAGGUUCGCCCGAUGUAGAGUACUGGGCAGCUAUGCCAUUUUCCUGUAGAAACCUUGCAAAAGGUCCAGGAACUUGGCCAUAUGGGGUAUGUCGACCGUAGUACUCCCCCCACGAUCGGAUCUUACUAUUUUAAUCUUAAUACUAUACUGAUUUUCUACUUCAACCUUAAAUAUCUUGAAUUUAUUCAAUGCUUUUGAACGCUAUUAAUUGGAUAAAUAUAACCAUAAUGUGAAUAAUCAUCUGUAAAUGUUAUAAAAGAAUCAUAACCAUCCACAGAUAUCACAGGAAACAGACCACAAAUAUCUGUGCGAAUUAUUUCUAAAAUUCUUAUGCUUCUUUUGGCAUCUUUCUUAAUUUUCUUAACGAACUUUCCCUUAAUGCUAUCGAUGCAUUGCUCUAAAUCUGAAAAUUCUAAAGGCGGAAGAAUUGAUUCCUUAAUCAACCAUUCUAUUCCCCCCUCAAAAUAUGGCCUAAAUGACAGUGCCAUAAUUUUGAAGAUACAUCAUCAAUUCUUUUCCUCUUAUUCUUUACAUUCAUAGACAAGGAGGCAUUCACAUUCUCAGCGCUUACAACAUUCACAUUCUCACAAAAUGAUAAUAAAUAAAGCUCGUCUUGUCUAAAGACAAGACCAACAACCUUAUUAUAAAACUUGAUUUUACAUUGUCCAUCAUCGAAAUGACAAGCAAAACCAUCAUCAUCUAAGCGCGAUACACUUAUUAAGUUUCUAUGCAAAGAGGGUACACAAAGAACAUCUCUCAGAUGAAGUACAAAACCAUUUGCUAAUUCUAAUAGGAGUUCUCCAAUAGCUUCGACUUCAGCUUGGAAGCCAUUUGCAACUUUAAUGCUUCUUUCUCCUCUUUGUAGGGUCCUCCUCGUAUGGAAUCCCUGUAAUGAAUUUGCAACAUGAACAGUUGCACCUGAAUCAAUCCACCAAGUAGAUUUUGCAUAACUUAAAUACAAGGAUUCAUCUACAAAUGUAAUAAGAUCCUCACCUUUCCUGCACAAAUGCUUCAGGAAUUCUACACAAUCCUUUUGGUAGUGUCCCUUGUUCUUGCACCACUUGCACGUGUUCUUGUCCACCACCACUUCAUGGUUUGAUCUUUGAUGGUGAUCGGAGCCUUUACAUGUGCCUUAGAAGAAGAGGCGUUCCACUGAGGUUUCCCUUGUGGCUUAGAAUUAUUGUUCUGAUAAUUGUUGGGUUACGAGGUAGGCUACACUAGCGCAAAUCAAAAUUUCUACCACGUAAAACCAGGAAGAGCUGCCGUAUAAGGAUCACGAGAUUACCACUCGACGCACUACUGGUGCGGAAGAUGCAGAUAUGCGUCAAUGCAGUGAAGACGAUCACGUUGUCGUACGUAGUCGAUCAACGUAGUCGUACGUAGUCGAUCACGUCAACGUCCAGCAGCUCCUCAGCAGCUCGUCCACGUGCAGCAAGAUCGCCCUCGUGCCGUGGCUCGUCGGCGGCUCGUCCAAGUGCUGCAGGCGCAACACCUCCAAGGUAUCCACACGUGCAGGGAGGAAGCGUCGCAAGCCGGACUGCUAGAUCCGUGAGUUGCAACAGGCGAGGGCGUGGGAGGCGCGGCAGAUGUGUUUCGCCAAAAGGUGUAAACCCUAGGGCGCCCGCACCCCUCUAUUUAUAGAGGUUCCUAACGGGCCUCUGGGUCCGAGGCCCAUUAGUACUUCUAAACCUAAUCCAACUCGGAUCAGAUCCGAAUUGGGCUUCCAGCCUCUUAAGUGUGUGACCCUAUGGGUUCGGAUACGUAUAGACAUGGCCCGAGUACUCCUACUCGGCCCAAUAGUCGGUAGCGGCCUCUAGCAAGACGUGCCAACUCCUAUACGCACACGAAGAUCAUAUCAGACGAACCAUCACAACAUAAUAUACGUGCUAUUCCCUUUGCCUCACGAUAUUUGGUCUAGCUUCAAGCCGACCGCUCUUUCUCGAUCCUGUGAUUCGGAAUCCCUUUGUAGGUUAACUCUUAAUCGUACGUAGCAUGGCCAUGCAUUUUCGGAUCCGAUCACUCGAGGGGCCCAGAGAUAUCUCUCUCAAUCAGAGAGGGGCAAAUCCCAUCUUGAUUGACCAUGUCUCAUAGCAUGCUUCUUGACAAAUCCGAAAGCUAACUUUAUAACUACCCUGUUACGGCGUAGCGUUUGAUAGCCCCUAAGUAGGUCGAUCCACAUCUAGAAUACAUGCGACAAUCUCAGGUCUAAGGACAAAGCGUAUAUGUUGUUUAAAGAGAGAACUACUUCUCGUGUUGGGUCAGUCCUAGCACAUGUCUCCACAUGUGUCCACACUAUUAGUUCAACAUCUCCAUGUCCAUGACUUGUGAAACAUAGUCAUCAACUAAUACAUGUGCUAGUCUAAUAUUCAUGUGUGUCCUCACAUGAACUCCGACUAGGGACAACUUUAGAAUAACCAUACAAGUAAAGAGUUUCACAUACAAUUCACAUAAUUGCAGAUCAAUUUAAGUAGCCUUUAAUGGAUAUUCAAUGAACACAAUAUACAAAUCAUGGAUACAAAUGGAAUAUCAUCAUCUCUAUGAUUUCCUCUAGGGCAUACCUCCAACAAUAAUUCCUCUUCUUGUUUUGGCUCAGGUAAUUGAUAGUAUCACCAGAUGAGCCCUUAAGCCUCUCUUCUUCUUGCACACGCAUGGCAAUCGUUUUCUCAAUACCCCACUUUUCUGGCUAUGAGUUGUAAUUCAUAGCAAAGGUCUCAAAUUUUUUGGGCAGUGAGGUAAAUACCAGAUGGGUUAUAAACUCUUUUGGGAGCUCCAUAUCCAUAGACUUAAGCUUAAAAGCUAUAUUGCUCAUUCUCAAUAUGUGAUCUCUUAUUCCACCGCCAGUAUACUUCAUAGUAACAAGCUUCCUGAUAAGAAUGCUUGCAUAUGCCUUUGAAGAGCUAGUAAACUGACUCUCUACCUUUGUCAGGUACUCCUUGGCGGUGUCACACUCUGGGAUUUCUCCCCUUAUUGCCUCCAAAAUGGAGCUCUUGAUCACCAUCAUACACUUUCUGUUCGACGAGUUCCACUUCGCACGAUCAAGAUUGUACUGCAUUUUGAUUGGUGCAUGAUCACGCACCCUAGCAUUGAAAGCAGCUUCGCUCUCAUUCUUGGCCCUCACGGGGUUCUUAGGUUAUAUGGGAUAAGGAGCAGUCAGUGCUAGAUCAAUGUCGGAUAGCGCAAGCACUAUUUCGACCUUCUCUCGCCACGAGCUAUAAUUCCCUCCAUUGAGGGGCUCUAUGGACGAGAUAAAACUCAAAGGAUUGACUGAAAACAAAAAAAAUUAGAAAAAUAUGAUUGAAUUAAACGUUGGUCAAAUUAAAACAUAAAACUUCUCAAUAUUAAUUCUACAUCACCGUUGGGCAGAAAUAGAAUUAAUAAUGAUAAAGCAAAUCUCGUCGGUACAACAAUUUUAUCAACAACGUAGGUCAUAGAUAAAAUUAUCAUACUCAGAAAAGUACUUAUUUUCUAAUUAAAUUUUCCCAUUGGUUCCAAUUUAAUUAGAGAAAUAGACUAAAAAACUUCAACUUAAUGCAUAAAAUUGGCAAAAUAAAGCCAAAAAUUCAACUUAACUUAAUCUUAAUACAUCAAAAGUUUAAACUUAAUUUGUGAAUUUUACCCAAAGGAAAAACUCCUUAAAACUACCUUUUUAUUUGAGCCACUAAUCAAUUUCCAAAAAUUAUAAAAACCACUGGAAAAGAAAACGAAAAACGGGUUCAAACUUCACUUUUCUUCGACUCGAAUGAAGAUGCGGCCCGACCUUCUUGUGCGCUGGUAGCACUCCCGCGUUCCAGGCCGCAACCUGGGCCUGGGCCGAGAUUCUUUCUUCCCGCUUAGGCCAAAUCGUGGCCCAAGCGAUCUGUGACGUCUGAUGCGAUCCGACAGCCGAGCAUCUCUUUCGCGGGAACAAAACCGCCAGUGCGGCUGGCUCCCAAACCCUAGCGCCAUUCUCCUUCUUCCCCUUUUCUUUCUGCACCGCAACUGACCGAGCGGAUGAGAGCCGAAAGCGCCAGCAAGAGAGCACCGGCGAGCGGAGCCGCGGCCCGAGCGGAGCGAGGCGAUGGCGCGUGCUUUGGUCACUCCCCCGGCCGGCCCUUUCGGCUCCCCCGCAGGCCUUUUCGCCGACGAGCGUGUCCACCCGAGGGUGAGCACGCCGUCGUCGAGCAGCGCUAUGGGUGAUCCUUUCGCCGGCGGCGCAACCUCGAAGACCCGGCACCUGGUGUGAGCCUGAAGUCCGGCGGAUCUAGGGUUACCUCGUCGGCGAUCUUCCCCAAGCAAAUCCGGUGACUUUCUAACUCCCCCUCUUUCUAGGGUUAGGGUUGAGCUUCGGCGGUCGUCGGCAAGUUCCGGCGGCCGUCGGCUUGAUUACUUUGCUUAUUUCCUUAGGUUUGCUUCCCCUCCUUCUGAUUUCUUCGGGUGUGAGUGCAAACAUGAGAGGGGAAAACGGAAUCCACUUACCACAAUCUAAGAUAACUGCUAAUUAUGGCUCUGAUACCAUUGAUAGAUCUAAUUGACUUAGUGCUCAACUUAAAUAACGUAACAGGGAUCAUUAGCAGUUCAUCUAGUUGGGUAAAGACUUAAAGCUCAGGCUAAACAACAAUGUUUUGUAACUAACAGAAAACUAACCCGAGAGGGAGAGUGAGAGAGAGAGAGAGUAGAUACCGACCAUCGGGCUUACUAGACGAGCUCAUCAUGGACGAAGUUGGAGACGACGGCGGUGUGAACGGCGACGGUGACAGUGUGGGUGGCGGCGAAGCUUCCCAUCACUACAUUGCAGAUUAGAUUAGGUUCUAGAGUUUGUUAGGUGGGUGUGUGGGCACGGCAGCAAAUUUGGGCGUUCGUGCCCCGACCCCACCUCUACUUUUAUGUGCGCUACACGAUGGGGGCCCGCAACCAUGAGUUGGUUGUGCGCCCCCGAUCAGGACGCGGGAUCAGGGUCCGACUUGGCCGUUGCGGUGGAGAUCAAACUAACAUUGAGUAGAUGCAAAGUAAUUGAAUUGCAGCAUGGUAUGUACCCGUUGUAUUAUAUAUAUAUAUAUUAAGAGAUUAAAACUUUUCCCUUUUCAUACUUAUUUACAUCUCGUGGAUGCCAACAACACAACAAUGCACACACCAGAGUGUGACCUUAUGGGUAAUAUGUGAACUGCGAGAGCCAAACAGUCUCCUAUUUAGAUUUUUUUCUUGAACGUGCAGGAAAACUAUAUAUCAUUAUAUUAAGAAGAAAUACUUAGAUUUACGUGAAUGCAGUGAAAAUUGGCUAAGAUCUUAUUUACUAUAGUUAUCAAACUAUCAGGUUCGUCUAAUUUGCGAGUGAUUGACAAUGACGAAGGCUUACCUUUGUGAACCCAUUGAUCACUCAUACAGCAGAACCAUCGCGCAGGGGUGGUAUAUUGAUGACUCUUGCUUCUUACUUGACUAUGUUCUUUUUUUUUCAAAAGAAGAAGAAAUGUUUGGAUGAGGUGUUAAUGGAGCUUGACAGGUAAGCUGGCAGAGUCCAUCUAUGAACACCUUGGGCGACUGGUCUGGCACAUCUUGAGAUUAGCGAAUGUACCAUAGAUGCACUUUUGAGAUGCUCGACAGGCGUUACUCUUAUAGUUGGAUGGCUUGGAGAUAUGCUUGGGAGAAAAAUUAAGUUUUUCCUAGUGUGGGUUGGGUUACGAAUGCAAGAUUGGGGAUAUGUGAAGUGAUGUGUAGGCCUCUUUUAGUGGAAUGGUUGUUUGGUUGAAGAUGAACAGAGGCAGAACUUUAUGGGCCUCUAGUGAAAAUAGAACGUAUAAGAGUAAAUUUAGAAAAAUCUACAAUCUGUAGAAGAAACAAAUAUACAUGAUAUGGGAACCAUUAGGUCUAGUAGAGGCGACAAUGCCUACAGUAGCGAGUUAGCGACUGGCCAACAGAGGACAUGCAAUUCCAUUACCAGUACAAUACUACAAUAAGGUUACUUAUACUGCUAAUUGGGUUCAGUGUUUUUCUUUUGUGAGCUGUAGUUGGAUUUGGAGUUUUCUCCACUGACCCGACCAAGAUAUAUUCUCUGUAACCCCUCAGGAUAUUAUGUGGCAGUUCCAAUCCAGACACUAUUAGGUAGCUUUAUAUAUUUAUUACCAUGUCAUAUAAACACUACACAUGUAUACUAUAUUCCCGGUCAAUGUUUUUUUUUUCAAAAUAAAUUGUCAUCCAAUCCCCUCUCCUCAUAAUACCUUGAGUUUUGCUGUUAAAAGGACAGCAAAAUUCACUAAAAAAUUGAAUUCUCUAAAACUUAAAACAAAUAUAGAUUUUCAGCUAAGCAACUCGAAUUCUCUCCGACUAAAACCUUUUUGAAUUAAAAGCUUGCAUAAAAUAGAUCAUGUGCAUUUUGUUUUCUUAGAGUUUUGAGCAUAGUAAAUUCAAGUUUGAACUUAAUUCAAAUUUGAGUAUGUAAAAUCUCAGCUAAUCUCUGAUCUAUCUCUGUUAUACCCUAACCUAAUCUCUAGACCCAUCUCAAGUUCAUUCAUCCGUAAUUUCAAAACUUCAAAUCAAUUCCAGAUCUAUCUAUAUCAAAUAUUUAAACUUGUCUAUAUCUUAGCCAUUUUGGGCCGCAUCUCCCCUCCCCUACAGAUUGGCCCACUCCAAGCCGCAGGCCAGUUCGGCCUUCGCACAACCCACCACUUAAAGAGAAGCUCGUCAUGGGUCCAGCUCUAUUUAUUUUAAAAAGUUCUAUUUACCCCCUUGGACAAUGGCCUAGUCCAUAUUUUCACCCCGGACAAGAAAACCAUCCGUUCUGCCUCCUCAAGUUCGCAAAACCGGAUACGCGAUCUCCCUGACCAGAUUUCACUCCGGUUUUGUCCUAGCUGGCGACAUGUCAUCACCAUGUCGCAAUCCGAUGUGUCGUGGGCCUACCUGUUAUCUUGUUCUCCCUUUCUCACUUACAUGUGGAUCACUUGCCAUCCUCUUCUUCUCCUCCACCUUUCCUUUCUCCAGCUAGAACAGCGAGGCUACCCCUGCUGCUCGAAAGGGAGCAGCCCGGGAUGGACCUGUAGCCUGUAGGGAGGGGCUGUGGGCGAGCCUGGGGAGUAGUGCGGGCGACGCAGAACUCAUGCAUACGGCCACCGGAGGGUCCGCAUAUACGGCGGCAAUUUCUUACCCGUCAGCCAAUGUUGUGUGGUGCUGAAAUGAUGAGAAAAAUCCAAUUGCAUUGCCAAUCAAAUUGAAUCGCCCAUUGAACUGGAUCCAAUUUGGCACCGAAAGAAGGAUGAUGCAGGGUUGCUAUGAGGCUCAAUUUUUUAGAUGCCAUUGUUGCCUUCCAAAUUGAAGCUAUCGCCGAUGCUUGCGUCGCCCAGGUUGGCCUCUUCCACACGCCAAAGGUUCAGUUAGGGAGCACACCUAGGAUCUCCCCUAGAUGCUCCUCGUUGACAUAGGAAAUGAUAGGUGGUGGAGCUGGAGGCCACGACGGAGCUGCUCGGCUUCCGCGGCAAGAAGGAUGGUGUCCUCCUAGGUGAGCAGCAUAGCUCAGUCUGCUCCAUGAGCAAGGAAGCGUCGUGGAUGGGAUUGCUAAGGCGUCGUAGAGUAUGACCUCUACCCUAGCUAUGGCAAAGGGGCAUUGGGCCGGUGGAAUUUAAGGGAACUCUGAUGAGGUGACGAGAAACUAGAGAGAGGAGGGUAAGGGAAGAUGACAGAUGCUUACAUUUGGAUCCAUGAAAAGGUUUGAUGGAUGACGUGGUGCCACAUUGGAUAAAACCAAGGUGGAAUUGGGUCCGGGAGGUUACUGUCCAAUUUUCGGAGAUCGAGAUGUCAAAAUGGACGGUUUUUGAAUCGAGGGUGAAAACACAGACUCGGCCCAUACUCGGGAGGUGAAAAAGGACUUUCUCAUAUUUAUUUCUUUCCCAAACGAGCCAGGCCUGUCGGCCCAUUUCGUUUAAAUCAGGCCUUCUUAACUCCGUGAUAGCUGUGGACAUUGUUUUAAUGUUUUUGUUUUUUAAUGAAUGGUUCAUGGUCGUAGCCUCAAUUAGCAAGCUGAUGAAGUGGAAUUGGCUUAAGCUCUGGUUCUACGUUUACCCUAGUUAGUUGCAAGAUGGAUCGUUAGGAGUCGAACUUAUGAAACAAAGUCAUGAAGGAUGGCUAAUCCAGCUGCAAAUUGGAGGGCUCAUUUUUUAUAUUCUAAUUACUAUGUACAUUAGUGAUGUGUUUAGGUAUUGUGAUGUCAUAGGGUACAUGUAUAUGACAUGUGCUGAUGCCUUAAGCAUUCUGUUUUGGCUACAUUCUUAAUUAUAACAUAAAUGUGGUCUGAUAUCUUCGGUGGAGGAUGUCUAAAAUCAGAAUUUUAUCCGUUAUCUGAGUAAAAUAGGUCCCUCACAGCAUGCUCUGGCGCGAGCUAUAGGAUCUUGGCCCAUUGCAUGUACUUGCUAGCCUAGCCCAUCAAAUGAUCCCAGGCUGCGUGCGCCCAAGCAGAAUCGGGCCCUGGUGGGAUAGGGCACGCAGGCCUCCCCUGCAACCUUGCUCUCACGUCAGGAGGAAUGACACAACUCCAGCAAACCUGGCCAAUCUGACCAAGGCACUCACGCCUAUAAAACAGUAACAUAUUCUCGGCCCCCUUUGCUAAUGGAGUAUUAAGGUCCUAUCCAUACUCAAUUAACUGCAAACAGAACUAGGUGUACUUGGAUCCAACCGACCUCCGUUAUGCACUAAAAUUGUCAGCUAGGUGCCUAGCUAAGUUACUUUUACUACUAUAAGUGGACUCAGAGUCAGAUUCCACCGAUGGGCAUCCUGAUGGGUAUCACCAAAAGUAAAUUCCACCUGCAAGUACCAUCAUGGAAAAAUUGACUAGGCCUUAUCAUGAUUGGAUGUCUAUUUUUGUGCUUUUGCUUUGGACUCAUCGUCUUCCUCUUCUUGUUUUGUUUUUUUGCCCGGAAGACGUCUUCCUCUUCUUUAAAAAAAGCCAUAUCUUCAGCUUUAAGGUGCUCUCGGAUGAUUCCUUAUAGACUCCACACAUCAAUCUUCUAUAUAUGUAGUUUUUGCACUCUUUUGUGAUUCUUACAUCCCCCCACAUCAAUCUUCAACAACUGUUUCAUCUCCACUUCUAACUUAGGGUGUUACGGUGUUACCCUUCUAACAUAGCAUCAAAACCUGUGAACAGGAAAUUUGGUCCAAAAUAUGGAUGGAUAGAGCAUAGAAUUCACUACAAGACAGCUUCACAUGUAGAGAUACUUUUGUAUAGGUAUUUUAUAAUUUAUCCUUAUAAAUAUGUUAUAAUGUAUUAUAGAGACACCUUUUGUGGCACUUAGAAGGUGCAGAUGUAUCAAUGAGACACUACUUUCAGUCAUUUUGUAAAAUGUCAAUACAAAUUAGGAAUAUCUUUGAGAUAAUAUAAAUUUCGACCUUACCUCCAUAAAAGACAUAGUAUGAGUCAUUCAUUUUAAUACUCUUGAGACACUAUUUAGAUAAUUGAGACACCAUAAGGAACUACUCAUAAUAAUUAGACUAAGUGAAUAUGCAUGCAACAAUUAGCGUUGGGUUGAGUUGGCUAACAUGUUGAGUAUUAUGCGAUAUAAUAUGAGGCUUGAGUUACAUUAUGCGAUAUAAUAUGAGGCUUGAGUUUGAAGACCCGUUGCUAGUAAAUUAUCAUAUUUUUGCAAUAUAUUUCUAGUGCAUGUAGAGGGGUCGUGGGUUUGAAGGUUGGGAUAUCGCACAUGGCCGUAAUUCGCAUGAGGGUGACCUUUCAAGACAAAAAAUUAUUUUUUGCUAUCUUUAUUUGUAAAUUGUUGUUUCCACGAUCUGUCGUGUGUUGGUUCAUAUAGCUAACGGCACGGAUACUUAUUGUCCAUGUUGGCUGGUGUUGCCGGCACGGAUAUAUAGUGAUUAGGAUUAGCUUUGUUGUGCUAGCAUGAUUACCGGUAUGAAUGAGAUGCUCUUCAUAAUAGACUCCAGAAAUACACUAUACUACAAGGUCAGCCCAUAAUAUUUAAUACUAGUUGAAACAAUAGGUAUUGGGAUCGUGACAUGCAUAGACGUUUUAUUUUUAAAGAUGCAGGUACAUAAACUUUUGUUAAUAUGUGGCACGUGAGUAUGUACGUGACAUUAUGAUUGCCAAAGAUGUACAAGAUUAGGAAGUUGUGGGCAAAGGUUAAGCAACGUAUUGCAGCCUCAUAAAGUAUGGCAAACAACAUGCUUUUAGCAUGUCAUAGUUAUGACAUAAACUAACACAUGCCUAAUAAACUGUGGCAUACCUAGCUAACUUAUGGCGCGGCAAGUUGUGGACGUGAACCAAAUAAGCACAAGCAUUUUAUGUCUCAACUUUAUUUCUUUAUUUUCAUCAAAAAGAAAAUUAGAACUAGAUGUGUUGUACUUUCUUCCUUCUUGGAAAACAGGGGAAUUCCAGGCAAUAUCUUGAAGAGAUGAUUGAAAGACUAGAUAUUCCACACGUAAAUGUCACCUCUAAUUCUGACAAUACACAACUAAAAAACACAUUUCUCGGUUGCAGGCUCAACACCAGUGUAAGUAUUUUUCUAGAUUUAUUCUGGAAAUUAAUGGCACUUUUUAAUCGUAGGCGAUAUGUUCGUUGACAUUGUAAAGUUGCACGUGCCACUGGAAGGUGGCUUUAGUCUCUGCUGUCCUAACAAAUAGUCUCUGCUAUCUUGAUUUCAUUUAAUGCUUGUUUUCCAAACUUGGCUGCCAUGCCACAGCUUUUGUCUCCUUAUGGUUCCACACUGAGUUGUCUCCCUUCCAGGUUCUCAGCUUCUAUUAGAUCGGCCCUAUUCACUUCUAUACUUUUCCGCAUACCUGAAGGCUGAAGCAGGGCCUGGUAGUUACUGAAGUUCAGUCAUGGAUGAAGGCACCGGUGUUGAGAAGACCGGCGGCAUGGGAGAGGUCCGAAAGCAGCUGUACCUUGCCGGGCCGCUCAUCGUCGCAUGGCUCCUGCAGAACUCCGUCCGGAUUAUAUCUCUUAUGUUCGUCGGUCACCUUGGCGAGCUCGCCCUUUCCAGCGCCUCCAUGGCCACCUCCUUCGCAAGCGUUACUGGCUUCAGCUUGUUGGUAAAUUGUUCACAUGAUAAUUCGUCUCAUACACUUGAGUACUUGACCUCCUGAACCAUCAUAUGGAGAUCCACAGCGAACUGAAUCCUUUGUUCAUGCAUUUCAGUUGGGCAUGGCGAGCAGCUUGGACACACUGUGUGGGCAAGCCUUUGGGGCAAAGCAGCACCAUCUUCUCGGCAUCUACAAGCAGAGAGCCAUCCUUGUGCUAACCCUGGUGAGCAUUGGGCUCGCUGUUGUCUGGUGGUACACUGGCAAGAUCCUUCGCCUCUUUGGCCAGGACCCGGAGAUUGCGGCCGGAGCCGGCAGCUACAUCCGGUGGAUGAUUCCGGCGCUGUUCGUGUAUGGGCCAUUGCAGUGCCAUUUCCGGUUCUUGCAGGCGCAGAACAUAGUCCUCCCGGUGAUGCUGAGCUCAGGCGUCACGGCGGUGAGCCAUGUGCUGGUGUGCUGGCUGCUGGUGUACAAGAUUGGCCUUGGCUACAAGGGUGCUGCCUUGGCCUGUGCCAUCUCGUACCUGAUUAACGUGUCAAUCCUGUCAAUUUACGUUAGGCUUGCACCAGCCUGUGAGAACACUAGGAGAGGGUUCUCAAAGGAGGCUUUUCACGGCAUCCCCACGUUCUUGAGGCUUGCUGUUCCAUCUGCACUGAUGGUUUGGUGAGUU